rnacentral:rRNA from 1 species
AACGUAGGAGACAAACGUUAUCCGGAGUUACUGGGCGUAAAGGGCGUGUAGGCGGUUUUGUUAAGUUUGGCGUGAAAGCUCCGUCGGCUAAACCGGGAGAGGUCGUUGGAUACUGGCAAACUAGAGGACGGUAGAGGGCGUGUGGAAUUCCGGGUGUAGUGGUGAAAUGCGUAGAGAUCCGGAGGAACACCAGUGGCGAAGGCGACACGCUGGGCCGUACCUGACGCUGAA